GAUCACACCUGUUUUGCCUUGAGCUCUCAUUUUCUGGCUUCACUUUGCCCCGAGGCUUGCACGCCAAACUUGUCUCAGAAUUAGAAUUAGAUUUAAGCAGGCCACGCUUUCUGUCUACCAAAUUAUUCGUCAGUUAUUUUUCACCAAACGGAAUACGUAAAAUAUAGAACAUCCUUUUUGUAAAUUACAAUUUAUUCUGGACCUUAUUCAUUCUACACAAAGAUUUGAGGCUGACCACGUUCUUUGACGAAAUUAAUCAUUACUCCAGUCGUUACAAUGACAGAAGACAAUCUGAGUGUACUCAUUCUCCGAUCACCUUUUAAGAAGGACACAGCUGUAGUUAGUCGGCCCUAAUGGACUGAAUUAAUAGGUGCCAAGGACAAAAAGGGGGACAUGGAAUUCCCUAAUAAUAAAAUAAAUACACAUUUUAGAGAGGUCAUUUCAAAUUCGAUCUUCAUUUGUGCCCUUUCGUGGUUCUUCGGUGUUCUAUUCAAAGCGGUGUGCAUUCAAAGCAAUGAAUAAAGUUUACGACUAUAAAAAACUA